GACGAACGCUGGCGGCGUACCUAAUACAUGCAAGUCGAACGCCGUGGUGACGGGUGAGUAACACGUGGGUAACCUCCCAUCAGAGGGGAUAACACUUGGACACAGGUGCUAAACCGAUACUGAUGGAUGGACCCGCGGUGCAUUAGCUAGUGGGUGGGGUAACGGCUCACCAAGUCCACGAUGCAUAGCAGACGUGGGAGGAGGAUCGGCAACACUGGGACUGAGACACGGCCCAGACUCCGACGGGAGGCAGCAGUAGGGAAUCUUCGGCAAUGGACGAAAGUCUGACCGAGCAACGCCGCGUGAGUGAAGAAGGUUUUCGGAUCGUAAAACUCUGUUGUUAGAGAAGCGGUAUCUAACCAGAAAGCCACGGCUAACUACGUGCCAGCAGCCGCGGUAAUAC
rnacentral:rRNA from 1 species